rnacentral:rRNA from 1 species
UCCUACGGGAGGCAGCAGUGGGGAAUAUUGGACAAUGGGCGGAAGCCUGAUCCAGCAACGCCGCGUGAGGGAUGACGGCCUUCGGGUUGUAAACCUCUUUCAGCACAGACGAAGCGCAAGUGACGGUAUGUGCAGAAGAAGGACCGGCCAACUACGUGCCAGCAGCCGCGGUAAUACGUAGGGUCCGAGCGUUGUCCGGAAUUAUUGGGCGUAAAGGGCUCGUAGGCGGUCUGUCGCGUCGGGAGUGAAAACCAGGUGCUUAACACCUGGCCUGCUUCCGAUACGGGCAGACUAGAGGUACUCAGGGGAGAAUGGAAUUCCUGGUGUAGCGGUGAAAUGCGCAGAUAUCAGGAGGAACACCGGUGGCGAAGGCGGUUCUCUGGGAGUAUCCUGACGCUGAGGAGCGAAAGUGUGGGGAGCGAACAGGAUUAGAUACCCUGGUAGUCCACACCGUAAACGUUGGGCGCUAGGUGUGGGCCCUUCCCACGGGGGGGAGCGGCAGACUCUGGGAAUGAGAGAGAGACUCUGAACAUUUGUUCGG